AACGAACGCUGGCGGCAGGCUUAACACAUGCAAGUCGAGCGCCCCGCAAGGGGAGCGGCAGACGGGUGAGUAACGCGUGGGAAUCUACCCAUCUCUACGGAAUAACGCAUGGAAACGUGUGCUAAUACCGUAUACGUCCUUCGGGAGAAAGAUUUAUCGGAGAUGGAUGAGCCCGCGUUGGAUUAGCUAGUUGGUGGGGUAAAGGCCUACCAAGGCGACGAUCCAUAGCUGGUCUGAGAGGAUGAUCAGCCACACUGGUACUGAGACACGGCCCAGACUCCUACGGGAGGCAGCAGUGGGGAAUAUUGGACAAUGGGCGCAAGCCUGAUCCAGCCAUGCCGCGUGAGUGAUGAAGGCCCUAGGGUUGAAAAGCUCUUUCACCGGUGAAGAUAAUGACGGUAACCGGAGAAGAAGCCCCGGCUAACUUCGUGCCAGCCGCCGCCGUAAUAC
rnacentral:rRNA from 1 species